AGCGGCGGAGGGGUGAGUAGUGCUUGGGAACGUGCCUUGGGGUGGGGGACAACUUUUGGAAACGAGUGCUAAUACCGCAUUGUGUCUACGGACCAGGGGGGGCUUCCGCUCUCCCCUUUAUAUUGGCCCAAGUGGGAUUAUCUAUGUGGAGAGGUAGUGGCUCACCAGGGACAAUAUCCUUAUCUGGUUUGAGAAGAAGAUCACCCACUCUGGCACUGACACACGGCCCACACUCCUACGGGAGGCAGCAGUGGAGAAUAUUGCACAGUGGGCGCACGCCUGAUGCCCCCGUGCCGCGUGUGUGAAAAACGCCUUCGGGUUGUAAAGCUCUUUCACUCGAGAAGAAGGGUUAAUAUUUAAUACCUGCUAUCUGUGACUUUUCUGACAGAAGAAGCCCCGGCUAUCUCCGUGCCCGCCCCCGCGGUAAUACAGAGGGU
rnacentral:rRNA from 1 species